GUGAGUCAUCGAAUCUUUGAACGCACCUUGCGCUCCUUGGUAUUCCGAGGAGCAUGCCUGUUUGAGUGUCAUUAAAUUCUCAACCUUACCAGUUUUGUUAUGAGACUGUGUAAGGCUUGGAUGUGGGGGUUUUUGCAGGCUACCUAGUGUGGUCUGCUCCCCUGAAAUGCAUUAGCGAGUUCACUAAGCUCCGUCUAUUGGUGUGAUAAUUAUCUACGCCGUGGAAGGAACUUAGACUUGCUUCUAACCGUCUGCAAAGACAACUUUUGACAAUUUGACCUCAAAUCAGGUAGGACUACCCGCUGAACUUAA
rnacentral:rRNA from 1 species